GCGGCUGUAGUUCAACGGUAGAAUGCCGCCCUGUCACGGCGGAGGUCGUGGGGUCAGCACCCAUCAGCCGCGCAA
rnacentral:tRNA from 1 species